rnacentral:rRNA from 1 species
AUUGAACGCUGGCGGCAGGCCUAACACAUGCAAGUCGAGCGGAUGAAGGGAGCUUGCUCCUGGAUUCAGCGGCGGACGGGUGAGUAAUGCCUAGGAAUCUGCCUGGCAGUGGGGGAUAACGUCCGGAAACGGGCGCUAAUACCGCAUACGUCCUGAGGGAGAAAGUGGGGGAUCUUCGGACCUCACGCUAUCAGAUGAGCCUAGGUCGGAUUAGCUAGUUGGUGGGGUAAAGGCCUACCAAGGCGACGAUCCGUAACUGGUCUGAGAGGAUGAUCAGUCACACUGGAACUGAGACACGGUCCAGACUCCUACGGGAGGCAGCAGUAGGGAAUAUUGGGCAAUGGGCGAAAGCCUGAUCCAGCCAUGCCGCGUGUGUGAAGAAGGUCUUCGGAUUGUAAAGCACUUUAAGUUGGGAGGAAGGGCAGUAAGUUAAUACCUUGCUGUUUUGACGUUACCAACAGAAUAAGCACCGGCUAACUUCGUG